rnacentral:rRNA from 1 species
CUUUACUGUAACUUGAAAUUGAAAUUGGACUUUACUUGCGCAGUAUAGGUGGGAGGCAUUGAGUUUAUUCUUGCGGGAAUUUAGGAGCCAUCAGUGAGAUACCACUCUGGUAAUGUUAGAUUUCUAACUUUGGAUCAUUAUCUGGUCAAAGAACAGUUUCAGGCGGGCAGUUUGACUGGGGCGGUCGCCUCCCAAAUGGUAACGGAGGCGUACAAAGGUUUCCUCUGAACGUGUAGAAAUCGUAUCUAGAGUGUAAAGGCAUAAGGAAGCUUGACUGUGAGACCUACAAGUCGAGCAGGGACGAAAGUCGGUCUUAGUGAUCUGACGGUGCUGAGUGGAAAGGCCGUCACUCAACGGAUAAAAGUUA